CGUGGUUGAUAGUGCUGUUCAGCGUCGAGGUUUAUUUCGAUAUCAUAAGCCAUCUCGAUAAAAGGUACCACAUCGUCGAUCUCAUCAAAUGACAUAUCGCCACCACUACGUAACUGAUGUAGAAUCUGUUGCAUCCAUGUUGUGCCGCAUUUAGGUGAAGUCACGACGAACACAUCAUCUGGACGAGGUUUAAAACUUAAACCAUGCAUUCUUCCUUGCUCUGUUCGGAAGUUAGAAAACCUUUGUUUCAGGAGCUGCACACCUCGUAUUCCUGUUCCAUCUCCAGAUUUCUCAAAAGCCAUUGUCAGAAUAG